rnacentral:rRNA from 1 species
UUAACUGAACAAGACCCCAAACUUAAGAGCUAUUCAAAUAAGGCACAGCUUAUUUGAAAUAGGACACAACCUACAACAUAGGGUAACCAAGAGUAACUUAAAUAAAGUGGGCCUAAAAGCAGCCAUCUUUAAAAAAGCGUUAAAGCUUAACUAUCCCUCACUCACAAUACCUAAAGCCCUCACUAACCCCUCAUCACUAUUGAACAAUUUUAUAUUCAUAUAAAAGCUAUUAUGCUAGAACUAGUAACAAGAAAUUGCCUUUCUCCUAAAUGUAAGUAUACACCAAAAUAAACUCUGUUGGCUAUUAACGUAAAUGCUAAACUAUAGUAACAUCCACUAGAAAACCCUAUAACUCCCAACGUUAACCUUACACCAGCACAUUCCAGGAAAGAUUAAAAGAAAAAGAAGGAACUCGGCAAAUCAUAGCCUCGCCUGUUUACCAAAAACAUCGCCUCUUGCAAAACAUAAGAGGUCCAGCCUGCCCAGUGACAAAGUUCAACGGCCGCGGUACCCUAACCGUGCGAAGGUAGCAUAAUCACUUGUUCUUUAAAUGAGGACUCGUAUCAACGGCACUACGAGGGCUAUACUGUCUCCUUUUUCCAAUCAGUGAAACUGAUCUCCCCGUGAAGAAGCGGGGAUCAAAAUAUAAGACGAGAAGACCCCAUGGAGCUUUAAACUCCCUGUACACUUCUGUGUUCCUACAUCAUUAAACAUAAGAAAUCUGCACACUAGUUUUAGGUUGGGGGGACCACGGAGUACAAUUUAACCUCCGUAACAAAUGGGCUAACUACCCUUAUCCACGAGACACACCUCUAAGAAUUAUUAAACUAAUGCUUAUGACCCGAUAUUCGAUCAAUGAACCAAGUUACCCUGGGGAUAACAGCGCAAUCUACUUCAAGAGCCCAUAUCGACAAGUAGGUUUACGACCUCGAUGUUGGAUCAGGGUAUCCCGGUGGUGCAGCCGCUACCAAUGGUUCGUUUGUUCAACGAUUAAAACCCUACGUGAUCUG